UACGUAGGGUGCGAGCGUUAAUCGGAAUUACUGGGCGUAAAGCGUGCGCAGGCGGUUUUGUAAGCCAGAUGUGAAAUCCCCGGGCUUAACCUGGGAAUGGCAUUUGGGACUGCAAGGCUUGAGUGCGGCAGAGGAGACUGGAAUUCCUGGUGUAGCAGUGAAAUGCGCAGAUAUCAGGAGGAACACCGAUGGCGAAGGCAGGUCUCUGGGCCAUAACUGACGCUGAGAAGCGAAAGCAUGGGGAGCGAACAGG
rnacentral:rRNA from 1 species